rnacentral:lncRNA from 1 species
GGAGGGGGAGGGAGAGGAGCACGGCUGAAAUGGGGGUGUUGUACCUGUGCUUUGAGGAGUGGUUAGGGGUGAAUACUCAGGCAGGAGCAGAUGCGAGGCACCUCUCACUGGGCUAGCUUGGUGUUGUGGACAAAGGAUUGUCCAUCAUACCCUUUGUGCUGGGUCCCCCAUGUACUCCUAAGAAGGAAACCUUUGUGAACCCAGCAUGAAUCCUGUCCUCCCGGUGAAGUGUGCAGGCAUUUAUAGAUACACGGAGUGUUUGUUUUAUAAAGAUGGAAUUGAGUGAGUGUUGCACACUUAUCUCCAAAUUGCUUUUCACAUCCCACAAUACCUUGUGGAAAUCUCCUGAAGCUAUGGGAAGAGGGUUAAUUAAACUCUGCAGGUUGCAGAUAUUCCACUCGUGGCUGUGACAUCACCUGCCUUCCCCGUCUUGCCCAUCAGUCCCCUUCCAAUGUCGCCUCAGCCCCUCCGGCAACUUACCCCACACCACUGGAAAUUCAACCUCUUCACCCAGCCUGACUCCCAGACUCUUCACAGGAACCCUCCGGGAUCUCCUUGUCCAGGCUUCUCCAGCACUGAGGUUAUAGGCC